UACGGAGGGUGCAAGCGUUGUCCGGAAUUACUGGGCGUAAAGGGCGCGUAGGCGGCUCAUUAAGGCUGUGGUGAAAGUCCGGGGCUCAACCUCGGAUCGGCCGUGGCGACUCGUGGGCUGGAGCACUGUAGAGGCGGGUGGAAUUCCGGGUGUAGCGGUGGAAUGCGUGGAGAUCCGGCAGAACACAGGUGGCGAAGGCGGCCUGCUGGGCAGUUUUGCUGACACUGAGGCGCGACAGCGUGGGGAGCAAACAGG
rnacentral:rRNA from 1 species